rnacentral:rRNA from 1 species
GAUGAACGCUGGCGGCGUGCCUAAUACAUGCAAGUCGAGCGAACGGACGAGAAGCUUGCUUCUCUGAUGUUAGCGGCGGACGGGUGAGUAACACGUGGAUAACCUACCUAUAAGACUGGGAUAACUUCGGGAAACCGUAGCUAAUACCGGAUAAUAUUUUGAACCGCAUGGUUCAAAAGUGAAAGACGGUCUUGCUGUCACUUAUAGAUGGAUCCGCGCUGCAUUAGCUAGUUGGUAAGGUAACGGCUUACCAAGGCAACGAUGCAUAGCCGACCUGAGAGGGUGAUCGGCCACACUGGAACUGAGACACGUUCCAGACUCCCACGGGAGGCAGCAGUAGGGAAUCUUCCGCAAUGGGCGAAAGCCUGACGGAGCAACGCCGCGUGAGUGAUGAAGGUCUUCGGAUCGUAAAACUCUGUUAUUAGGGAAGAACAUAUGUGUAAGUAACUGUGCACAUCUUGACGGUACCUAAUCAGAAAGCCACGGCUAACUACGUG